GAUGAAGAACGUAGUGAAAUGCGAUAAGUAGUUUGAAUUGCAGAAUUCAGUGAAUCAUCGAAUCUUUGAACGCACAUUGCGCCCCUUGGUAUUCCAUGGGGCAUGCCUGUUCGAGCGUCAUUUGUACCUUCAAGCUCUGCUUGGUGUUGGGUGUUUGUCUCGCCUCUGCGUGUAGACUCGCCUCAAAACAAUUGGCAGCCGGCGUAUUGAUUUCGGAGCGCAGUACAUCUCGCGCUUUGCACUCAUAACGACGACGUCCAAAAGUACAUUUUUACACUCUUGACCUCGGAUCAGGUAGGGAUACCCGCUGAACUUAAGCAUAUCAAUAAGCGGAGGA
rnacentral:misc_RNA from 1 species